ACAGCAACGUUUCGACCCCUAAGGGCCUUUGUCAAGAUUGACAAAGACCCUUAGGGGUCGAAACGUUGCUGUUUGGUUCCUUGUUCCAAUAAAGAAUGCCUAUAUUUUGGAAUUCAUUGGAAUGCCUGGAUUAUUUUCUAUAUUCAUAUCAUAGAUCAUGGCAGUCUUACAUUGUCUUGUUUAACCCCUUAAGGACACAUGACGGAAAUAUUCCGUCAUGAUUCCCUUU